rnacentral:tRNA from 1 species
AGCAGUGUGGCCUAAUGGAUAGAGCAUGGGCCUAGAAAUCCAAAGGACCUGGGUUCUAAUCCCAGCUCUGCCA